GAAAAAAAGAGGUCUUUUACGGUGCACAAUACUAAUAUAUACCACUGUUCGAAAAGGACUCGUAUGUAAGGAUCUGACGGUUGAGAUUAAUUCUAUACUAUUAAAAUCUUAAACUGUAGUAUAAGUAGUAUACAUGAGUAGUAUGAGUAGUAUAGGGGUAUAAUUGGAAAGAUCUAAAAUGGCAUUGUUGAAAUAGAUCAAUUCUUUCUUAAUUAUCAUCUUCUUUCCUUUUUAUUCUCUUCUCAUUUCAAUCGGUCGCUAGGGUUCAUCAUUUCCGGUCGCUAGGGUUGCACAGGGGCGGCGGCGGGCGGCGGCGCCGACUCCGGCGGGUGGCGGUGACUCCGCGGUGGAGGAGAUGCUCGCCUCGCUGCUGCUCCACGGCGGCGCGGGCUUCAGCGCUUGGAGAUCUGGCGGCGCCGCGGCGAAACGCGCGUCCCAUUCCGAGGAGGGGCGGCGGCGGGCGGAGGCGCCGACUCCGGCGGGCGACGGCGACUACGCGGUGGAGGAGAUGCUCGCCGCGCUACUGCUCCACGGCAGCAUGGGCUUCGGCGUUUGGAGAUCUGACGGCGCCACGGCGAAGCGCGCGUCCCAUUCCGAGGAGGCCGCCGGCGCGGAGGCGCGCACUGUGUGCGUCACCGGUGGCAGCGUCUAGAUGAUGCGUGCAGUUUCCGGGCAUCUGCUCUGCGGUGGCACCCUGACAAGCACCCGGGGUCUUCUCAGGCCGUGGCCGAGGAGAAGUUUAAUGCUCUGCGUGAACGCGUACAAUUCACUCUGCAGCGUCCUCAAGGCGUCUUAAUUAGUGCCCCGCUAUUUAUCACACACAAACGAUUGCUGCAAUUGCUUGAGGAUGUUUACUUUGUAGCAGUGUCGUUUGUGCAAGGCUCAGGAGUUGAAAUCCUCUCUCCAGUUGAAAUACUCGGAGGGAGGAGGAGCCACUCAUUGGAUGCAGCCAGUGGCUGCUGCUUUGUUUCAGUUUUUCAUUUGGGAUGCUCACAUUUGUGCCAAGAGGAAAGAAGCUCCGACAUGGAAGGAUAUGAGGAGGAGGCAGUGUUGUAACUUUUACUUGUAACACUAGUGUCAAAUGUAAUAACAGUUGAUUCUUCCUUCAUUUGUUUUAUCAAAUUCAGUUACCCAGAAAGGGGGAAUGAAUAAAAGAAAAACAUGCCAGACGAUCUGCAAA